AAGUCGUAACAAGGUAACCGUAGGUGAACCUGCGGUUGGAUCAUUAAAGAAUUUAAAGGUUUUCGAACUUUUAGCUUUAAAAUUGGGUUAGUUCUUCUCAUUUGAAGACUAACUUCAAACCUUGUGUGAAUUGUUAACUGUCUUUGAUGAGAAUGAAUAAAAGGAAAGGUUACUUUUCUUUCAUUAUCGCUCAUCAAAAAUGAUUUUUAAAAACUUUGUUUUAAAUAAAAAGUCUUGAAUUCAAUGAAAUUAAAUUGAAAACAACUUUUGACAACGGAUCUCUUGGCUCUC
rnacentral:misc_RNA from 1 species